rnacentral:rRNA from 1 species
CGGCAAAAGCUCAAAUUUGAAAUCUGGCUCCUUUAGGGGUCCGAGUUGUAAUUUGCAGAGGAUGCUUCGGGAGCGGCCACGGCUUAAGUGCCUUGGAACAGGACGUCAUAGAGGGUGAGAAUCCCGUCUUGAGUCGUUGGUCCGCGCCCAUGUGAAGCUCCUUCGACGAGUCGAGUUGUUUGGGAAUGCAGCUCUAAGCGGGUGGUAAAUUUCAUCUAAAGCUAAAUAUUGGCCGGAGACCGAUAGCGCACAAGUAGAGUGAUCGAAAGGUUAAAAGCACCUUGAAAAGGGAGUUAAACAGCACGUGAAAUUGUUGAAAGGGAAGCGCUUGCGGCCAGACUCGGGUACAGGGUUCAGCGGGUGCGUGUCACCCGUGUACUCCCUGUUUCUCGGGCCAGCAUCAGUUCUGACGGCCGGUCAAAGGCCUCUGGAAUGUGUCGUCUUUCGGGACGUCUUAUAGCCAGGGGUGCAAUGCGGCCUGUUGGGACUGAGGAACGCGCUUCGGCUCGGA